UACGAAGGGGGCUAGCGUUGCUCGGAUUCAUUGGGCGUAAAGGGUGCGUAGGCGGCGCGGUAAGUCGGGUGUGAAAUCUCGGAGCUUAACUUCGAAACUGCAUUCGAUACUGCCGUGCUUGAGGACUGGAGAGGAGACUGGAAUUUACGGUGUAGCGGUGAAAUGCGUAGAUAUCGUAAGGAAGACCAGUGGCGAAGGCGGGUCUCUGGACAGUUCCUGACGCUGAGGCGCGAAGGCCAGGGGAGCAAACGGG
rnacentral:rRNA from 1 species